UACAGAGGUCUCAAGCGUUGUUCGGAUUCAUUGGGCGUAAAGGGUGCGUAGGCGGCGCGGUAAGUCGGAUGUGAAAUCUCGGAGCUUAACUCCGAAACUGCAUUCGAUACUGCCGUGCUUGAGGACUGGAGAGGAGACUGGAAUUUACGGUGUAGCGGUGAAAUGCGUAGAUAUCGUAAGGAAGACCAGGUGGCGAAGGCGGGUCUCUGGACA
rnacentral:rRNA from 1 species